UUGUACACGAGGCGGCUCAUGGGGCCAUUUUCAAGUCAGCGCGACGGCGGCGCUCGAGAGGAAAGAAAUUGAUAUAAAUGUCAAAAAUGAGUUCCGAUGGGAUUGGAUGGAACGAGAAGUCGUCGAUAGAGUUGGAAAGAAGGAAGUCGCCACUCUUAACUCUGUUCAGCGACUUCAUUCGCAAAAUCCAUCGACCCGGGAAAGCAUUUUGCACGUGGGCUCAGGAUACUCGUGACGACGGAUCGGAUCGAGAGGUUUCAAGGCAUUGGAAGUUCACGCCAAGGGAAAGCAUUUUGCACGUGGGCUCAGGAUACUCGUGACACUCGUGACACUCGUGACGACGACAAAAAACACGCCAGAACCAACGAAACCGAACUUUUCCAUAGCUGGCACAUUCGGAUGUCCAACAAGCAAGCCCAGUUGCAGACGGUGUUUGUGGACACAUUGAAGGGCGACUGUGUGUAUUCUGACACCCGUCUCACUGGACCAUGGACUUGUCACCUGACCAAGGCCUACACACAUGGCUGGACCUGCACAGUGUGACGGGAUGACAGCUCUGGACUGUUUCCUUUCCCCAGUAUGUGUGCGUUAUUGUGUGGGGGGUGCAUGCAUGCGUGUGUGCGAGUACAAAAUGAUAUGCAAAAUAUGAUGUACAAGUCCUGUAUAUGGAAAAAUUAAAAUAACGCUUGAAGCUG